AAAAUCUCCUAUUUCAAAACUUUUCUGAUAAAAGCUAACUCCUAUGCUGCAUUUUUCUUCCCUUGCAUAGCCUAAGAGACAUUAUCUAGAAAGGGAUUUGUUUCUCCUACUCGACUAGUAAUACUUUCUUUUACAAAUACGUAGAUAGCAUGUGUUACAUGUCAGGCACUUGUCUGAGGGUUUUACAAAUAUCACUUAUUUAAUCUUCAUAACACCCUAUGAGGACAGUGCUAUUAUUAUCUACCAAUUUCCAAGGGAGGAAAUUGAAUCACAGGGGGCUUAUGUAAUUACCUGACAUCUUACAGUUAGUGGGUGGCAAAGAUGGGAUUGGAAGGUAGGCUUCCAUUUAUGAUUUUUCUUUAGCUCCGGAAGAAACUGACCAUUAAAGGUACUCUCAAACACACGUUUCUGAUAACUUUGGAGAUUGUGACAUUGGAAUAGAGGAAAAACGUACAGGACAAAUGAAGAGCUAAAAUGUUCAUGAAUAUCAAGCAGAACAAGAGAUAACAGAAUGGACUGAACUUACAGAAAACUAAAGUAAUCCUUUUUAACUUUUUGCUUUAAACAUUGUUGAUCCUUUGUUUUUCAACGUGAGGAAAACCUUUAUAUUGAGUUCAUUACAGCUUUUAACAAUUGAGUAAGGUAUACUUCUGUGAACAAGAUUUGGAGCAUAUUUGUUUCUCUCUGCCUGGUUUCUCCAAAAUUUGGAAGCUAUAUGUGAGUAUUCUUAAAUUAUGGCAAUAUAAUUAUUUGCAUACUUGCAAUAAGAAUCUAUUUUUAUUUAUUUAUUUAUUUUUUUGCAGCAGCAAGAUACAAUUGAAGAAACUAGUGGUUUUACCAAAGCUUUCACUGGAAUGCUGGAAGGGUGUGCUUCCCUUUCAGGAACCAAGCUUCACUUCUCAAGCCAAUAAAAGCCCCUUGGGAAAACUGGCAUCAUACCUUGUCUACACAGUCCCUGUACAGAUUUCCUAACAGGUGAUAAGUAAAGAUUGUAACUUUCUCACGGGCCCAGGUGCCCCAAGUUCUCUUGGAUCCUCAAGAAAAAAGAAAUGUAUCCAACUCAUAGGUAUUUGAGGGUACAAACCCAUGGCCGGGCUGGGCUUUAAAAAAUUUUAUCUGAGAUUCCAGUGGUGUUCCAGCAAAGCCAAUUUUUUAAAAGCCUGUGUGAAAAUAAUGAUUCUUGAUGCUCUUUAUGCAAAUAAUCAGGUCAAGGAUAAGACUAAAGUUUAUUUUGCAAACAACUCAGACCUAUUAUGAUUUGUCUUUAAGAAAAAUGAAUACUGGAGAGAGAAAAAUUACAUUUCAAAAUUUAUCAUAAAUGUGUCAUUAAAAUCUAGUCUCAUUAGCAUUUUUUAAGCUUUUGUCUGCAUUUUAGACUGAACUUGCUUAUACCUGUGAACCAACCAGGGAUUUCUGGCUGCAGCUCAGAAGGAACAAAAGGGAUGUCUAAUGUAAAAAUCUGGAUUAAUAUUCUAAUUCUGGGCAAUUAUCUUGCAAAUUCUGCCAGGUGAUGAGGGUAAACCCAUAACCUGGAGAUUACUAUGUUUGGGAAAAUAAGACCAAACAAGCUGACCAAAGCAAAGCUCCAGGCACCCAAGUCUUAGCAGGUAACUGGGCAUGCUGGCAUCCUCAGGAUUUUUGAACUGUCCUUACCCCUUGUUCCAUGUCAAUCCAUGUUUUUUAAUUACUCAGUUUGUCUCUUCUAGCCUUCAGUCCAUCAAAUUCAAAUGGUCAUGCAACCAGAACAUUGGAUGAUCGCUCUCUUCUACCAAGGACCCUUAGAUAGGCCUCCAAGGGAGAUCUGACUGCUGUCUUCCCAAAACAGUGUACCCUGUCAGCAAAAAGUAGUUAAGAUCGGUCAUGAUCCUUAUCCCAAUGGCAGUUAGAUGUACCACUUCAUAGGAAGGAAUUGAUAGCAGCAGGAGCCAGGCAAAUGCCUAGGCAGAUAGGGUCAGGUCCCACGUGAAACCCCAACUUCAAGCAGAAGGCAGUUUAAAGCCUGGCUAAAAGUCCCAGGUAAAUCCACAGACCAGUGGAGAUUGUCUUCCCAUUUGGUGUACUUUCCUCUGAUCCCUACUCUUCACCUAUUUUACAUAUUCCUACCCUUUCCUAGUUGGUUUUCUACACUGCUGUGCCCACCUUUGAGUGAUGCCUUUGCUUUAGCCUUUCUUUGCAUACUCACCACCAAUCAGCACACACCCCCCUAUUCUAAGCCCUUAAAAGCCCUGAACUCAGCCAUGCUGGGAGAGAAACCACCUGAUGGUGGGAGUGGAGAACCACCUCCUGCAUCCCCUCUCCACUGAGAACUGUUCUAUUGCUCAAUAAAAUUCUUCUCCGCCCAUCCUCAUCCUUCAAUUGUCAGUGUAUCCUCAUUCUUCUUGGAUGCAGGACAGGAGUCUGGGAACCACUGAACGUGGGUACAAGCUGUAGCACAGGCAGGUCAAGUGGGUGGGGCACCUCCAGUGGCAGCCCAGGGCCAAGUGAGGCUGAACUCAGCUACAAGCUGUAGCACAGGCAGGUCGAGUGGGUGGGGCACCUCCAGUGGCCAAACGAGGCCCAGGAGGGACAAUGUUGCUGGUCUUUGAGGUCCUGUGUUCGCAAAAUGACCUAGAAAAAUCCUGU
rnacentral:lncRNA from 10 species